rnacentral:tRNA from 1 species
GCGCGGGUGGCGGAACUGGCAGACGCACUAGCUUGAGGGGCUAGCGAGAGCAAUCUUGUGCGAGUUCGAAUCUCGCCCCGCGCACCA